GGUCUCCGUGCCGCCAUGUUGCACCGUCCCCGCGGCCUCCUAAUAGGAAGGCCCGGGCAGAGGCCGCACCUGGGCCUAGAGCAGCUCACCUUCUCGCAGAGGCUCUUGACCUGGGACUCGGAGAGCUGCUUGCACUCGUUCAGCUGCUCGAUCCACUGGUCCAGCUCCUUGGUGAACAACUUCUCGUCCAUGAUGCCGCCCGCCCGAACCGGCUGCCGCUCUGCGCUGCUCCCGCGCCGCCGCCCGCACCCGGGCCACACGCACACGCCGCCGCCGCUCCCCGGGGUGCUUCCUGCGGCCCCAGGCGGCUGCUGGGCGCUGGCGCCGGCCCGCUGGCUCGCUCCGCAGUGCUCGGCCGCCGGCCGCUGUGCCUCC
rnacentral:lncRNA from 1 species